rnacentral:lncRNA from 1 species
GGCUUCGAACUUCACCCUAGCUAAGUAAGGGUUUAGUUCCUCAUACUUGCAAUUAAACAAAAACAAUUGAUAUUAAACAUAGAGAAACAAAGUAGAAGACACCUAGAAUGCUCCAACAACUCCAAUGGAAUGGCUAGCACAACUCCAAGCACUCCUCCUUCUUUGCAAGCCUUGGAACUAAUGGAAAUGUGUAUGAAUGGCUGUGUGUCAUCCUUGAAGGCUGAAUGGUGCUUAUAUAGAGGUUGGAAAUGUCAAGCAAUUGCAAGGUAAUGGACAAGGGAAAAAAAAACCCACGGCAAUGAAGGAAGAUGCUGCCAGCUUUUUGCCUUGUGUGUGUGUGCUGUCUUUGUGCUCUUUCCACCUAGAAAUAAUCAUGCCAAAGCCACCCAAAGCUAUAAGUGGGAGACCAACAAGAAAUCCACUUCAUAGUGGUCCAAUUUCCUUGCUUUUCUGCUGUCCAUUCACUCCCCUUGUUUUAUUUCUUUUCUUUUGUUUGCUUUCAAUUCCAAUCUGCAAGUUGUCGUCAGCUAGACCUUCCCUUACUCAAAUGCCUAUAACUUCUUCUAGAAAAAUGAUAUUAACAAUCCGCGAAAUGUUCUAGAAAAUAGACAUCUGUAGCUUUCCAAGCAUAUAAGGCUCAUUCUCUAAUUCAUUCUGAGCUGUUCGAAAUUUGCUCCCAAAGUCAGCUGAUCAAAGUUGUAGAAAUCUGCCAACUCCAUUCCAUUGCCGUGUGUGUGUGUUUGUGUUGUCAUCAUCACUUCCCACUCUUCCAUGCUUUAAUUUCUGAUUCCUUGCUGCCCAUGUGGUGUGUGUGUUGCUGUUUUCUUUCCUUCUUGCUGCCCAUGUGGUGUUUAUACUUGCACAUGCAUGUUCUUCAUCCAUUUAGCUAGCAAUAAACACAUUUUCUGCCAUCACAUGGCAGCUAUGAUGUUUGAAGUUGUAGGCCAACACUUUGCACACACACAUGUAGAUUUCUAGCCCAUUGAAUCAUCAAAUUCGUCCAUCCUCAUGUCUCCAUGUUUGCACCAUCCAAUCUUGGCCCAAAAAUGCUCCAAAGUGCUCCAAAAUGCAUCUUCUUGCAUCCUUGGCCCAUAGAACCUACAAACACACAAAAAUGGCUUAAACUACUAACAUAACUAAGAACUAAGAACAUAAAUGCACGAAAACAAACAUACUAAGUCGCAUAAAUAUGCUCCUAUCAAAUUCCCCCACACUUUAGCUUUUGCUUGUCCUCGAGCAAAACAAAGAAACAAAACAUAAGAACAAAACAAAACCUAAACCUUCCAACAUUUACCUUAGGGAUUUUCAAUGCAACAUGACAUGCAAAAGAUCAUCAUAACCACAUAUUUUGGCCUUCCCUACCCUUGAGCACAUACUUAAUCAUAGUCACCAUAUACUAGUUCACAUAUAACCAAUUAAAACGAUGUUUUGAAUGUAGUAACAUGCCUUAGAGAAUUUGCUCAAUUCCUUACAAGAUACACUCUUAUUUUCACUCUGAAUUUCUGACUACACACCCUACACUAGGUGUAUGUGAGAAGAUUGAUGUAAACAUGAAAACGAACACUCACAUAUCUUUAAAGCAAAGAAAGCAAUUUCUGGAGUUAUUAAGCAUGUAUAGAUAUGAUCUCAUGACUGGAAUGCUACUACUUAGAUGCGAGAACCAGGGAUACCAUAUGCUCGUACCAAUCCCAAACUCCACAUAUUGAAACACAUAACACUCAAGAUUGAAGUUAAGGGUUGUAACGGGGUUAGGGGUGAUUGGCUAACAAUGAAAGGUAAGGAAACAAACGUUUUUUAAAGCAUAAUAAGCAAAUUAAUGAAAUUGAUGCUUAGAAUUCCUUUUGAAUGCAGCAACUAACUUUAAACACAAUGGGGUUAUUCAUUCAACUUUUUUAGGGCCGAUUUCAACUUUUUGGACCCUUUCUACAACAAACAACACUUGUGAGCAUUUCCUCACUUAUUUCAAACUCUUUUUUUUUUUUUUUUUUUUUUUUUAACCCGUGCCUUAUUACUUUCUUUUGGCACACUAAACACAAAACUCUCAUUCCCCCACACUUGUUUUCUGCAUAAGGACAAUCAAAAGGAAUUCAUUUUAAGUCAUGCUUCAUUAUGCUUUAAAAACAAGGGUAAGGAUAGUCCUAAUCUAGGCUAGGUAAGGGAAAUGUGGUUUAACAAAGAAAACAGGCUAAACAAGGCUCAACGGGGUUAAACUUAAACAAAUAUGCACGGGAUAAGCUUUUUGGCUCUAGUUCACUACAGAACUUCAUCUUGAAUAUGUGUUAUGCAAAUCAAUGUCAUGCUUUGAAUGGAACGGGCAUAAGUUCUAGUAUUUGGAACUAAAUGAUGAAACGCCUUCUAAGUAGCAACCAGGCAAAGAAUGAUGAGAUCAUGCAACGACUUUAGAAAACAAAAAUGCACAGAUUAAUAACUCUCCAAAGAACGUAUUAGGCUCAAGUCUCUCAAGGUUGUAGUGUUAGUUUGAGUUCCUUCCUUCAAGCAUGUUACAAAAACUGAUUUUUUUUUUUUUUUUUUUUUUUGUGAUUACAUGUGAAUUCGUAAACUAUAACUAUAACCAAGCAUAAAUCAAGAGCAUAUCAAACUUCCAUCCAUGUUUAUAACUUUCUUUAACAGUCAUGCAAUUAAAAACCAAAUCCUCAUUAUUUGUGUUGGAAGGUACCCUAAGACACAAACAAACACACAAAAACAACUCUUUUUGGCUUUUUCAACACCAUUUUUUUUUUUUUUUUUUUAUUUUUUUUAUUUUUUUAUAUUUUUGUCAAAAUUUCGGAUUUUUAUGUCAAAACAUACUAACAUGCUUAAAAACACACUAAAAACACUUAAAACAGCAAGAAACAACAUUGUAAGUGAUAGGUGAAUAAAAUCCCACGAAAAUCAUGCAACAGCAACUUGUUUAUAUUUUUUUAUAUUUUUGUCAAAUUUUCGGAUUUUUAUGUCAAAACAUACUAACAUGCUUAAAAACACACUAAAAACACUUAAAACAGCAAGAAACAACAUUGUAAGUGAUAGGUGAAUAAAAUCCCACGAAAAUCAUGCAACAGCAACUUGUUUACCCCCCCACACUUAAAUCUAACAUUGUCCUCAAUGUUUCAAACAUAAACUCACAAAAAAGCAAACAAACAAACAACGAGGAAACAUGAUAAACAUGGCAAAGUAAAAGCAACAGAGAGGAGGGUUAAAGAACGCAAACACCUGGUUUUGGAGUCGGAAAUUCCUAGGUCUUCUCUAUUUCCAUGGGUUGCCUCCCAAGAAGCGCUUUCUUUAACGUCGUGCAGCCGGACGUCUAUCAUUCAUCAAUGAUCUUUGGUGCCCACGGCAUGGAGGGAUAGAUCCUCCACCACAUGCUCCUCAAACAGGUCGUAAUAGGGCUUCAAUCGAUGCCCAUUAACCUUGAUUUCAUGUCCUGUUUUCAAGCUUUGGACUUGGACUGCACCAUGAGGAAAGACAUUAGUAACAAUAAAUGGCCCAAUCCACUUGGAACGUAACUUACCGGGGAAUAACCGAAGGCGAGAGUCAAAUAGGAGCACUUUCUGUCCCUUGGAGAAUGUUUUGGUACGAAGCAUCUUGUCAUGAUACGCCUUGGUCUUGUCCUUGUAAAUUCGAGCGUUCUCAUAAGCGUCAUGCCUAAUCUCCUCGAGUUCAUUUAGUUGGAGCUUUCUAUGCACCCCGGCUGCAUCUAUGUCCAUGUUGAAGGUCUUCACAGCCCAAUGCGCCCUAUGUUCCAAUUCAACGGGCAAAUGACAUGGUUUACCAUAAAUGAGACGAAAAGGUGACAUACCUAGAGGGGUUUUGUAGGCCGUACGAUAGGCCCAUAAUGCAUCGUCCAAGCGCAAACUCCAAUCUCUCCUUGAAGGCCCCACGGUUUUCUCAAGAAUUUGCUUGAUCUCCCGAUUUGAAACUUCCGCUUGCCCAUUGGUUUGAGGAUGAUAAGGGGUGGAUACCUUAUGCGUCACUUUGUACUUCUUGAGCAAAGCUUCAAUGGUUCGAUUACAAAAGUGAGAGCCUCCAUCACUAAUGAGAACUCUAGGCAUGCCAAACCUAGCAAAGAUAUUAGUUUUUCACAAAAUCUGCAACAACCUUUGAAUCGUUAGUUCGGGUGGCUUUGGCUUCCACCCAUUUGGAAACAUAAUCAACAGCUAGCAAGAUAUAAGUGAAACCAAAAGAUGGAGGGAAAGGACCCAUGAAAUCUAUACCCCAAACAUCAAAGAUUUCAACACUAAAAAUGGGGGUUUGCGGCAUUUGUUGUUUAGGACCAAUAUUGCCCGUUCUUUUGGCAUCUAUCACAAGACAUGCAAAAUGUUCUAGCAUCCCUAAAGAUGGUAGGCCAAUAGAAACCACAUUCUAACACCUUAAGUGCUGUUCUUUGAGUGCCAAAGUGUCCCCCACAAGCAUAAGUGUGACAAAAGGUUAGAAUUGCAUUAAACUCAGAAUCGUGUACACACCUACGUAUAACUUGGUCAGGGCAAUAUUUCCAUAAAUACGGGUCAUCCCACACAUAAAACCGUGCCUCUUUCUUCAAUUUAUCACAUUGGUGUUUAAGUAAUUCACUAGGAACAUGUUUAGACACCAAAUAAUUCACCAAAUCAGCAUACCACGGUUCACUUACCUUGACGGACAUCAGUUGCUCAUCUGGGAAUGUCUCUAUGAUAGGCACGACAUCCUCCUCAUGCACCAUACGGCUCAAGUGGUCAGCCACCACGUUUUCACUUCCCUUCUUAUCCCGGAUUUCGAUAUCGAACUCUUGGAGAAGAAGCAUCCAACGAAUGAGUCGUGGUUUGGCUUCAUUCUUGGUGAAUAAAUACUUCAAUGCUGCAUGGUCAGUAUAAAUAAUAACUUUAGUACCAAGCAAAUAAGAACGGAAUUUAUCUAAAGCAAAUACAACAGCAAGAAGUUCUUUUUCAGUGGUAGAAUAAUUCAAUUGUGCAUCAUUUAAAGUCCGAGAGGCAUAAUAGAUAACAUGCGGCCUCUUUUCCUUCCUUUGCCCCAAAACAGCUCCUAAUGCAUAAUCGGAAGCAUCACACAUAAGCUCAAAAGGAAAGCUCCAAUCUGGUGGAACUAUGAUAGGGGCCGAAGUUAGCAUUUCUUUUAGGUGAUUGAACGCCUUCUCACACUCCUCGUUGAAGUCAAACGCCACAUCUUUUUGGAGGAGACGGCAAAGAGGGUUUGAGAUCUUGGAGAAGUCCUUGAUAAAUCGCCUAUAAAAUCCUGCAUGACCAAGAAACGAACGAAUCUCUCGAACCGAAGUAGGAGAGGGUAAGUAGCGUAUAAGAUCUAUUUUCGAUUUAUCCACUUCAAUUCCUCUUUCUGAAACAAUAUGCCCUAGAACUAUGCCUUGUCUAACCAUAAAGUGACAUUUUUCCCAAUUAAGCACAAGGUUAGUUUCUACACAUCGUUUCAAAAUUAUUGUGAGAUUUUCCAAACAACCAUCAAAUGAAUCACCAAACACACUGAAAUCAUCCAUAAAUACCUCAAUAAUCUUUUCCACAAAAUCUGAAAAGAUACUUACCAUACACCUUUGAAACGUGGCCGGAGCAUUGCAUAAACCAAAAGGCAUGCGACGAUAAGCAAAAAGUACCAAAGGGGCAUGUGAAAGUUGUCUUUUCUUGGUCAUCCGGCGCUAUGACAAUCUGAUUAUAUCCAGAAUAACCAUCAAGGAAACAAUAAAAAGAAUGACCGGCUAACCUUUCAAGCAUUUGAUCAAUGAACGGCAAAGGGAAGUGGUCCUUCCUUGUGGUGGCGUUGAGCUUCCUAUAAUCAAUGCACACUCUCCAACCUGUUUGGAUACGGGUUGGCACAAGCUCAUUCUCGGCAUUUUUCACCACUGUCACUCCGGACUUCUUUUGGAACACAUUGCACCGGUGAUACCCAACGACUAUCAGAGAUCGGAUAAAUUACUCCACAAUCAAGAAGUUUGAUAAUCUCCUUUUUCACAACUUCCAUCAUUGGAGGGUUGAGACAGCGCUGAGCCUCUCGAGUUGGUUUAGCCCCCUCCUCUAGAAGUAUGCGAUGCAUGCACGUAGUCGGGCUAAUUCCCCUAAUAUCGGCCAAAGUCCACCCAAUGGCCGUCUUGUGCUCUUUCAACACUCGGAUCAACUUCUCCUCCUCUAUGGCCGUGAGUGAUGAGGAGACAAUGACGGGCAAUGUCUCGUUAUCUCCCAGAAAGGCGUACUUUAAAUGAUCGGGCAACGGUUUAAGCUCAAGUACGGGUGCCUGAGUUACUGAGGGUAACAACUUAUUAGUGGAGACUGAAAUUGAAAUUGGGUUAGAAGGCUUACCAUGAUAUUGAGGUAGUGACUCAAGGGCAGCCACUAUCUCGGCCUCCUCCACACUUCUAGGCACAGCAAAACCAGAUUUUUGCCCAAUUCCUUGUGCAAUUGUUGUUUCAAGUGUAUCCCUCUCCAAACAAUCGAGAAAAUCCUGCGCCAAAUCAUCAAUUAUAUCAAUAGAAAAGCAAGAAUGAUCGUCCUUAGGAAAUUUAAUACUUUCAGAAAGAUUGAAAUCAAUGACUUCCCCAUCAAAUUCCAUCGUUAAAGUUCCUUUAAACACAUCUAUCUUGGUGCGGGCUGUUUUCAUGAAGGGCCUCCCUAAUAGAAUCGGCAAUGGGGUGGAAUGGGGUGAAUCUUCCAUGUCAAGCACGUAGAAAUCCGCUGGAAAAAUCAAGUCACCAACCUGCACCAAAACAUCUUCCAAAACACCCUUUGGAUAUGCAUUAGAACGAUCGGCUAAUUGAAUUAUCACACCAUCAUUUUUAAGCUCACCUAAGUUCAUAGAUGCAUAAAUAGAGUAUGGCAUAACAUUAAUUGAAGCCCCUAAGUCUAACAUGCAUUGUUCAAACUUAGUAUUACCAAUAACGCACGGAAUUGUAAAACUACCCGGAUCUUUGCAUUUAGGGGGUAAUUUCCUUUGUAACACGGCAGAGACAUUUUCACUUACUUGAACCACCUCUUUGUUCGAAAUCCUUCUCCUUGUUGUACAAAGUUCUUUUAAAAACUUAGCAUACCUCGGGACUUGCUUAAUCGCAUCAAGGAGCGGGAUAUUGACUUGAACUUUCCGAAAGGUCUCUAGAAUGUCCUUCUCAGCUUCUUCCUUCUUUUGAUUGCCUAAACCUGCCAGGAAAGGGCACAUUUAGUGGAAUAGAACUAGAAAAAGUUGAAUUGGGACUUACCUUGGUGGUUUGGGAUGGUUUAGGAGGACUAGAUGAAUUCGGCAAGGUUUGGUCUUCCUUGGCCUUGGGCUUUUCUCCCUGUGCUUCUUCUUGCAGCAACUUGUCCUCCUCGUCUUGACUUGAUUUGGAUGUAUUUGAGUCCGUUCCAACCUGUUUACCACUUUUUAACAUGAUGGCCUUAGCGGUUUCAAAUCCUCCCUUCGGGUUCAUAACGGUUGAACUAGGCAAUCUGCCUUGUUCUCUAAUUUGCCCCAUAAAUUCUGCAAUUUGACCCAUUUGCUUCUCCAAAUUGUCCACCCGUUUGUCUUGGAUUUGUCUCUCCUUAUUUUGAGUUUGUACUUCCUGCGUCAAAGUAGUAAGUAACUUAACAAUGUGAUCAUUAUCCAAAGACAUACCUGAGGUUGUUGGGGCAGAUUGCACUUGGUUUUGAUUGGGGACGAAUGGCUUUGUAUAAAAGCCCGGUGGUUGCUGCCUAAAUCCUCCUUGUUGUUGGGGUUGUUGAGGAUCCCGCCAUUUGAAAUUUGGAUGGUCUCUCCACCCCGGAUUGUAGGUAUUAGAGUAUGGAUCAUGGCGUGGUUGAUUUUGGUUCCCAAAACCCACGGCAUUGGCAGAUUCCCAACCCCUAUUCUCAAUCAAUUGAGGGCAUUGAUCAUUUGCAUGUCCUUGCAUAGAGCACACGCCACACACACUUGGUCCAUGAAUCUUCAUUCCCUCGGCCAACUGAGAAACAAUAGAAGUAAGGUUAGCUAAUUGGGAUUGAAUUUCGGGCAUAGAACUUACCUCAUUCACUUGUGGCCGUGGGUGGUCUCUUUGUCCAACACCUUCGUAUUGUUGUGCAUUAUGUGCUCGGUUGGCAAUUAGAACUUUUGCAGCCCCCGGAGUUUUAUCCACCAGCGCACCUCCCGCCGAGGCAUCAAGCAUUUGGCGUUCCAUGGGAAGGAGUCCUUCGUAGAAGUAUUGAAUGAGCAGCUCCUCCUUCAUUUGAUGUUGUGGACAAGAAGCAACAAGUGAUUUAAAACGUUCAUAAUAAGAAGGAAACGAUUCACCUUGAUUUUGUUGGAUGCCACUAAUCCGUUUCCUCAAGAGAAUGACUCUUGAAGUUGGGAAAAACUUCUCCAAGAAAGCUCUUUUCAUACUAUCCCAAGAUGUAACCGUUCCGGGUGCUAACUCGUAAAGCCAAUCCUUCGCCUUUUCCAAAAGUGAGAAUGGAAAAGCCUUCAUCAUCAGAAUGUUCCCGUCGACAUUUAUGGGUGUCAUGCUCGAACAAACAACCUCGAAUUCCUUGAGAUGCUUGUUUGGCUCUUCCAUGGAAAGCCCAUGGUAUUUCGGAAUGUGGUGCAACAAGCUUGACUUCAACUCGAAUUCAUCGGUCUUGCCUUGGGCAGCCGCGGGGUAUUGAAUGCAUAAUGGUGCGGCAUUGGUCAACCCCGAGGCCGAAAGCUCUUUAAUGGUCCGAUUGUCCGCUGCCAUAACUUCUUCUUUCUCUUCUUCAAACUCAUAUUCGGCCUCUGAACUUGAACUAGGUUCACUAGGUUCGGGAUGCCUCCUCUUUCUUCUCAAAUCACGUUCAAAAUCGUGUUAAAGUCCAAGAUAUGCACAGUUUGAGAACUCCGCGUCAUGCAUUAGUACCUAAACCAAGAAAACAAAACAAAAUAAGAAACUAGGUAAAUUACACUAAAAACACACGGCAAAAACACAAGGGAUUAGCAAUUUGCUAAUCCCCGGCAACGGCGCCAAAAUUUGAUGUGAGAAUUACUUGACACACAAAUUAAACCCUAUUGAUGACAAUUGUAGUAAUGAUGCAAGUAGGGAUCGUUCUAGACCGGGGAUUAACUAGGGAUGCUAAUCAACAAAUAUAAGACUCAAGAAUAUAAGAAGAAACUUAAAAACACAAAAGUAGGUUUUAAAACACUAAACUAGACUCAAAGAGUUCAAAACACUUUAAGGCACAAACUAAACAAACUUAAACACACUUCGAUACAAGAAAGUAAAUGGGAGGUAUUGGUUUGGAUGAGAUUGAGAUAACAACAAAAAGUAAAACUAAAUAGAUGGUUGAUGGAUUAGCUAGAGAUCCAUUCUUCACACAUGACACACUUGUACAUGAAUUGAUUUCCAAUUGCUUUUCAAUAGAUUAUGAAACUCAACACCCCAGAUUAACCGUGAUGCACUAAUUAAUUCUCAGAUUUUCCUUGAUUUAUUGAAUUGGAUGAAUGCAUACGACAAUCCAAAUUAUUCUCCAAAAGUCCUCUACAUGAAUGCAUAAUAGAGAUACAAUUAAAGAUCAUUACGUUCUAUGAAAAUCAUAAGUGUUAACGAGGCAUUCGUAACUAUGAAUGCAUGAUACGUUUGCCAAGAAUUCAAUUAACGCGAUUGUGACUAGCAACCUUCACUACCAAUGAAUAUAAACUUGUAACGAUUAGGUGAAACUCAUUUAUAUCCUAGCAUCAAAUUCAUGCAUGAAAACUAAGUAUGCAUCCUUAAUCAACAUACAAGAAUUAGUUUUGAAGAAAGUAGUUAAUUGAAUUGCAUUCACAACUUAUUAAAUCACAAUUGGAAGAAAUCAAUUCAUAUCUCAAACAUGUUCAUGGCUUCGAACUUCACCCUAGCUAAGUAAGGGUUUAGUUCCUCAUACUUGCAAUUAAACAAAAACAAUUGAUAUUAAACAUAGAGAAACAAAGUAGAAGACACCUAGAAUGCUCCAACAACUCCAAUGGAAUGGCUAGCACAACUCCAAGCACUCCUCCUUCUUUGCAAGCCUUGGAACUAAUGGAAAUGUGUAUGAAUGGCUGUGUGUCAUCCUUGAAGGCUGAAUGGUGCUUAUAUAGAGGUUGGAAAUGUCAAGCAAUUGCAAGGUAAUGGACAAGGGAAAAAAAAACCCACGGCAAUGAAGGAAGAUGCUGCCAGCUUUUUGCCUUGUGUGUGUGUGCUGUCUUUGUGCUCUUUCCACCUAGAAAUAAUCAUGCCAAAGCCACCCAAAGCUAUAAGUGGGAGACCAACAAGAAAUCCACUUCAUAGUGGUCCAAUUUCCUUGCUUUUCUGCUGUCCAUUCACUCCCCUUGUUUUAUUUCUUUUCUUUUGUUUGCUUUCAAUUCCAAUCUGCAAGUUGUCGUCAGCUAGACCUUCCCUUACUCAAAUGCCUAUAACUUCUUCUAGAAAAAUGAUAUUAACAAUCCGUGAAAUGUUCUAGAAAAUAGACAUCUGUAGCUUUCCAAGAAUAUAAGGCUCAUUCUCUAAUUCAUUCUGAGCUGUUCGCAAUUUGCUCCCAAAGUCAGCUGAUCAAAGUUGUAGAAAUCUGCCAACUCCAUUCCAUUGCCGUGUGUGUGUGUUUGUGUUGUCAUCAUCACUUCCCACUCUUCCAUGCUUUAAUUUCUGAUUCCUUGCUGCCCAUGUGGUGUGUGUGUUGCUGUUUUCUUUCCUUCUUGCUGCCCAUGUGGUGUUUAUACUUGCACAUGCAUGUUCUUCAUCCAUUUAGCUAGCAAUAAACACAUUUUCUGCCAUCACAUGGCAGCUAUGAUGUUUGAAGUUGUAGGCCAACACUUUGCACACACACAUGUAGAUUUCUAGCCCAUUGAA